rnacentral:lncRNA from 1 species
AGACAGCGCCUUGGCCUGAGGUGUCCCUGACAGGAUGAGGGCGGAGUGGCAGCUGCCGAAACCUGAACUCCUCUGCCCUGCCCCCGUCCCUUGAACCCACGCAUCUAGUAGGUCAGCGCCAGAGGAAAUCCUCGAAGAAAAUGGGCGUCUCCCUUGCUGAGCACAGAACCGCAGUCAGCCCUGUGUGCCCGCUCCCUGGAUGAGGACAGGAAGGACAUGGGGGAGAGGCCACGGUCACCCUCAGGAGCCCCCAGACCCACUGGAAAGCAGCGCAGUGAGCAUCUGAGCAGUACCGCCUGUGCCUGGCGCGAGGGUGCGAGGCGGGGGGCCGUGUGGCCAGGCAGCCUAGGGUUGCGCCAAAGCCCAGCAGGUCUGCUUCUCCCGGGGGCCACGCCUGCAUUUCUGCGAACGAUCCCCAGCUGUCGCUAAUGAAACGCUCCUCCACUGAGAGGGAGCCCAGCCCCACUCAAGCCGGUCAGAGCUCAUCCGUAGGAGGCUGUGUGGGGGUCACGCCACCACAGGACGCAGAUCUGCCCGAAGCCUGUUUUAUUGCACUUAACUAAUUCCCAAGAUAAACCACUGGGAAUUUCCAUCACAGAUUUCCACUUCUGCUACCACCGGGAUGGAAAAGGCCUCUUCCCUCAGAUUCCCCCAAUCCCAAGAAUGCAAUUCCUUCACUAAUGCUGAGUGGAGACAUAGUCUCUACAAUCCAGAAGGCUGAGUGAGGUGGAAACGUCGGUGCAGCCUGCAGCUCACCUGGUUGUCACUCGUAGAUCGGCCUCGGAAAGCUCCAGGAAGUUGGUUUGGGAUGAGCCGGGCGUCCUGCACAGAUGGUGGGAGGGAGAGGAGGCCGGAGCUUCAGCCAGUGCAGCGCCAUGGCCCCUGUUCUGUGGUUCACUGGGGUGUGAGGCCUUCCUUGGGCUCAGAGAGGGGGCCUCCGAGUCCUCAUCCACAGAAGCCCUCUGUGCCACCAGCAGGGAACAGCCAGCAAAGAGCCUUCACCCUGAAGAUCCAGACGGAAUUCUUGGUUUCUACAGCUGCUCCCUGCCUCUCCCCACAGCCACGGGAAGGGGAGUUAACCGAGGCAGCCCCCACCCGAGACAGACCUGCACAGGGCCAAGAACUUGCCCUGUGGUAGGGCUGGGGGAGGAGCGGCUGGUGGACUUUCUGUGUCAAAGGCAGGUGUCACUUUCAGCUCAUUAAUUUCACUUCUCCAGGUUCUCAAUCCACCAAAAUGAGCUCUUUACAAAGGCCAGGACCUGCCCUUCUAGAGGACAGGCUCAUACUUCCCAAAGCUUCAGGACUUCGGGUCCUGUGGCUGCCCAUCCGUCAGCAGAACUGGGUGAGGCCAGGUGUGACAUCAGACAAGUCCCCCGCCUCUGGCAAUUCCUCAGCGGGGGGCAUGACCUACUGUGCAUUCCAGGGCUGCGGCACAUGUACUUACCCCUUAGCCUUGGACCACAAGCCUCCCCCAGCCCAAAAUGGAAUGGGGACAGCCUCUGCCACAGGGAGGGGCAGGUGGUGCCGUGUGAGGGGCGGUGGCACCCAGGGCUUUUCUCACAAGGAAAAGGAACCUCAAAGUGUUUCUCUCUGCACACUUUGCCUCCCUCAAAUGCGGGCUCCUUCCUCUCCCACCCGCAUCAGCAGCUGAGGCCCCAGAAGGGCCCACCUGUGUCCCGCCCACCAUGCGUGAGAUCGCUGAUUGCCUCCUGGGAUAGUGGCAGCGUGCUCGAGCCUCUCCGGACCGCAUCCCAGCUGUUAGAACCAGGAAGCCCCCGUCAGGCACCAAGACCCCCAGACGCUGGCCCGGGCUCCCCAUUUUCACUUGAUCCUCUCCGCCGUGUUUCUGUCUUCCUGGGGCUGCAGGCGUUUUGGUCAUGGCUGCAUCACACCAGAGUCUGCGUCCGUGGCCACGCAGCCUCCUCCUUUUCUCCGUGUCUUAAACUUCUUUCUGUUCCCUCUUAUCGGGACCUCCUGAUGCCAUCAGACGCCGCCCCACCAUGGUUCAGAACAAUCUUUCCAUCUCAAGAUCCUCAGUUCAAUCACAUCUGCAGAGACCCUUUUUUUCUGUGUAAAGUAGCAUUCACAGGUCCCAGGGAUUAGGAUCUGAUAUCUCUGGGGCCAGUACAGAUGGGUUUGAGAUUUGAUCAUGGAGAAAAGAAAUGACGGCAUUUAGCUCUAUAUCCUAGUCAACACGGAGCCGCGAGCAUGAUUGAGAAGAACGUCAAAGAUCAAGCAGUUUUGUAAAAGAGUAAAGCCCCUCCACUCUCCUAAACCCA